UCGAGCGAGACCAGUCCUUCGGGACUGGGGACAGCGGCGAACGGGUGAGUAACACGUGGGUAAUCUGCCCUCGAUUCUGGGAUAGCCCGGGGAAACCCGGAUUAAUACCGGAUAGCCUCUCGAGCUUACGAGCUCGUGAGAAAAGGUAGCUUCGGCCUCCGAUCGAGGAUGAGCCCGCGGCGGAUUAGCUUGUUGGUGGGGUAAUGGCCUACCAAGGCGACGAUCCGUAGCUGGUCUGAGAGGACGAUCAGCCACACUGGGACUGAGACACGGCCCAGACUCCUACGGGAGGCAGCAGUGGGGAAUCUUGCGCAAUGGGCGAAAGCCUGACGCAGCGACGCCGCGUGGGGGAAGAAGGCCUUCGGGUUGUAAACCUCUUUCAGCAGGGACGAAGCCACUCGGGUUAAUAGCCCAGAGGGUGACGGUACCUGCAGAAGAAGCCCCGGCUAACUACGUGCCAGCAGCCGCGGUAAUACGUAGGGGGCAAGCGUUG
rnacentral:rRNA from 1 species